rfam:Ictidomys tridecemlineatus contig072357, whole genome shotgun sequence.
AGGGCUGUAGCUCAGGGGUAGAGCGCUUGCCUUGCAUGUAGGAGGCACUGAGUUUGAUCCUCAGCACCACAU